rnacentral:ncRNA from 1 species
AGACAGCGCUAUCGCGCUUCCUCAGCCCGAACGGCAUCGAAGUAACGACUGGCUCAAACAACUUUCUUAUCCAUAACUCACG